GAUAAUCAUUCCUGUGGUUCUGUGUAUUCAACAUGACUCAGCAUUAUCUUUCAAGGGACAGAAGAGAAGAUGUUAAUUUGGAUGGAAUUUUUAUCCUUUGGGCAUUUAUGAGACAUGACAUUCUCAACAAUGACAAUUUAACAAUGAAAUCAAAGUAUCCAUCAACUCUGACAACACCGAAGAUGCUCUCCAUCCUGCAUCAUCAAAAAUGCCAUCAAGAUUUGAUUCUCUGCAUAAAAAUAAACAGCACAACCAUUUCAUUAAGAAAUCACCAAGAUUAAUAGAAGAAAAGUCUAAUAAAAUUGAAGAUGUGUGACCUUCAUACAUUAACCUGCCUGUCUAAUAAUCCUUUCCAAACAUGAAACAAGAUUGAUGUCUGUGACUUGGUGAUAGUGAAGCUGUGUUAGCUAAAGGGAUGCCCUAUUAUCCUUCAUGAGUUAGCCAUUUAGGUGCAUUCUUCAGGAUUCCACCUUUGUACAGAUAUAUUAACCGUUAAGUAUUUUUCAGAAUUUGAUUUUUUGAUAUAAACACAUUGGUCUCCUUCUGGUACUUUGACAUAGAAUUUACUAGUGGCACUUAUUGGCACACAUGUAUCUGUCAUACACAAAUACUCUGCACCAUGCCAAGUAUUUUAAGGAUCAUCUAUUUGGAGCGUUUAUGAUACCGUGACUUAACAUCCUCUUAUCAUGUAGUAGGUGCAGAAAACAAUAAUUAGAGAGAGAAAAUCAUGUGCCCAAGGCCACUUAGCCAGAAAGAGAAGGAGCUGAGUCAAGUCACUUUGAUUUCACCAUUGGGCUUUCCACAGCCUGUCCUUUCUAGGCCACCAAAACCUUCCCCAAUUUUUAUCAAGACUAAACAUGUCAGCUCUCUCUUUUAAAAUUCCUAAAUACCUUUUGAAGUACUCACAGCAUGGUAGAUGUGGAUCAAAUACCGUGAGGCUAUAGCAACACGAGAAUGCAACAGCAGCCUAUUAUUUCAGCCACAAUGUGGAGACAUUCCAUAGCAACCUCACAUGGAUGCUAUGAGGGUAGAAAUAAGGAAGCACAUGUCAGAUGCUAGUAAUGAAAAUGUGCACUCAAAGUUCAGGUUAUAUUUGGUACAGCAGCAACUACAGCACCUGUGUAGAGCUAUCCAAUGCUUCCCUUGUGCAGAAUAUGAGGUGUUUAAAUAUCCUGUAGAGUAUGGCUGUCAAUGCUCUUAGGGGUGAAGUCUUCAGCAAAUAAUACAUGUAAGAAGCCCAUGAGAGACCAGGUGGUGGUGGCACAUGGCUUUAAUCCCAGCACUCGGGAGGCAGAUCUCUGUGAGUUUGAUGCCAGCCUGGUCUACAGAGUGAGUGCCAGGAUAGGCUCUAAAGCUACAGAGAAGCCCUGUCUGAAAAAAAAAAAAAAAAAAAAAAAAGAAUCACAUGAGUUUAAGAGCCGAGUUUAGAGAAGAUUCUAAGGCGGGUUUUGCCUGACAGAUGGAAGCAAUGAAGACUGAAGAGGGCAUUUUAGGCAAAUAGAACAAUGUGUACAACAGCACAGAGGCAUGAAAAGGACCACAUUCUCUUUGAUCAGUCAUUUGACAUGCAUGUGCAUGUGCGUGGUAGAUCAUUUGAAUACAUUCAAGAUCUUGGUUUCCUCUUCCAAAGAAGUCCCAAUACAAUGUAGCCACAAUUAUGGGAAAACAGUGUUAAUAUAUCACAGGUGCCUGGUAUAUUCUGUGUUAAAUGAAGAAAUGUCAGGUACUGCUUGUGUCUGAGUCAGACCCUCAGGAGGGCAGAGAAUGUCCCUCUUGGCAUGCUGUGAUUUAUAGAGCCCUAGAAGGAAAAGUGGUGUCUGGCAGGUUGGUGUAAGUUGGAUACAUGGAAGGGGGAAGAUGUGCCAAGGGCAUGAAGAACAGUCAUCGAUAGACUAAGUAGGAGACAGGCAUAUUCUUCCUUUUGCAGAGCUGGGGAAUUUAACCAGGGUCUUGAACACUCUUGACAAGUGCUCUAUCACCCAGCUGUAUCCCUAAGAGGCAUCUCCAAGGCAGGAGAAGGUGGAAGGAAGACUUUUGAACUGUAUGUCACCGGCUCUGUGGUAAGAUGUUAGUGGCUGUCACUCAACACUGAGUUCUGGGAACGACUCGUGGUUAAAAUGCUGUGAUGCAAGAGUGAGGAUCAGAGUUCAUAUCCCCAGAAACCCACAUAAACACCAGGUGGGCAGGGUAGCCCCACUGUCAUUCCUGCCUCAGAAGAAGGAAGCAGAAGGUCCCCAGAGCAAGUUGGCUAGCAAGAGAGCUCUAGUUUUUUGAUUGAGAGACCAACCUCAAUGAAUUAGGAAAAAGAGCUACAGCAGAGGAUUUCCACUUUCAGUCUCAGAGCCCCAAAAGCACAAGCACACACAUAUACAUGUGUGGCUACACAUAUACAAACACAAGUGUGAGCACAGACACACACACACACACACACACACACACACACACACACACACACACACUGGAAACAGAUGAACAAAGCAAUUCAGCAUGCCCAGGAUUAUUCUUCAUCCUCCACUUGACGUUUAAAGAGACUCCUGUCCACUGGCUACUGGAUCCUGGAAUAGACACUUGAACCAGACAAGACACUGGAGUCUUUGAUCUCACUUCACACUUCUCGGCACCCUGUGUGUUAUGCUGUCACCCUCUGGUGACAGAUGAAAAGGCUGAAGCUACAGGGUGUGUGUGUGGUGCUGUGGUGCAGUUCCUGUCCUUCUUUGACAUAAUUGGCUUUAAAACAGUGACUUCAGUGGAGUCGCUCCAGUGCUGGAGACAUCCCCAAGGCCUUAGUCUCAAUCCCUAUGGCCUGAAAUUGGUUUGGAGUACAACGUUUCUGCUAAAGAGCUAGCAAGCCAGCUCAGGAAGUAAGAAUGCUUGUUGUGUAAGCAUGGAGACCUGAGUCUGAAUUCCCAACACCCAAGUUAAAAACUGUGCAUGGGUGGGCAUGCCUGUUACUCCAGUGUUGGGGCCAGACAGACGUGGACAUUGAAAGCUUGACUGCAAGACUGCCCAGCUGAAAUGGUUGCACUUCUAAUUCAGUGAGAGAUCCCGACUCAUAUUGAUAAGGCGGAGAGCUAAAUACAGGAGAACAAGAAGCCUUUGUCCUCUGGUCCCUGAAUCUGAUGCAUGCUUACAGGUGUGCACAUUUAUGUACAUGCACACUGCAUGCGUGCAUACUGCACACAUACACGCACUGCUAUCACACAUGCACACGCUGCAUACACGCUGCACACAUAUGCACACUGUACACACAUGUCCACACACACCUUGCACACACACACACUGCACAUACAUUGUGCACACACGCACACUUUUUCAAAAAGCAGGUGGUGGGACUUUCUCAAGAUCUUCCCGUAUUCUCAGCAUACAGCCUUGGCUUCCAUGGUUUUCCAGGGGUUCACAUGAAAUGUUAGUUUCAUCUGCCCAGGUGGAUGUUCUGAAGCCUCACAGAGAAAAUCAAAAUGAGAACAAAGAGAGAGAAAGCUGAGACAUGAGAGAAUAUGCAGAACGAAAGCACAUUAUUACCUAAACUAGCAAAGUAGGGAGGGGAAAUAUUUUCAUUUCUGCAAAGGCCAUGUGUGAGUGCCUACAGGGAAAUCGUAUCCACAGCCUUGUGACUGAACCAAUAACUCAUAUCUGAUUCAGAAGCCGACUUUGUUGGAUUACUGUGCUACAGCUGUUCUCAGUCUACGUCCAGCCUCUCCCAACGGGACUGAUUGUAACAACACGUCUCAUUUAUAGAUCUCAUGUGCAGAGGCCUGGAAACCCAAAUUAAAACCUUAUGGAUGUUACUUUGGUGAAUUCAACUCCAAAGCAUUUUGGCUCCUCUGAACAGGUCAUUUUCAAUGUAGAGGGGUUCUGGAACACAAUGGAAAGGAUGCUUCUUUUGUACUUAGCCUUUUUAUGUGGGGGAUGUGAUUUGACAUAAAAUUAAUAACGGAAUAUAUUCUAGUAGCAUGUUGAGCUGUGGUCAGGCUUAGUAGGGGUUGAAUGGAAAGAGGAGAGGAAAAUGAGCAGAUGGGAAUGAGAUGGGUAGAACUUGGGAACUCAAGUGUUGGUCCUCAGGGAACAUCAGCAGGGGACCCGGACAACAGGACUUGUUCUCUAAGUAUGUUUUCCUAGGCACUGAGACCCAAAAGAUGAGAAACAUCUUGACCAAAGUUACCCCAGUAUGCAAUAGAGGUAGCACUAAGCACUCCAUCUGGAUUCAUUACUCAACUACCCUGUCUAAAAUUGCCUUGAAGUCACUAUGGCAACUUUAGGAAAAUGUAAGGGGAAACAAACACUCGAUAGUGGCUUCCGAGAAAGCAUUCAGCUUUACAGGUCAAGGGAAUUCUUCCAGUUUGUCCCGGGUCAGACAUAUUCUAGUCAGGUGUGGCUUAAUGAGGGUAGGAAAAUGCGAGCAGAUGUAAGGGACGUUUUAGAAAGAGAAAGAGCAGGAUGGACUAGAUUCUGUAGAAGUGGAAAAGGACACUGAGUGAGGACACUGGAUUCAUUCUAGAAAUAUUUUCUUUGUCAAUGUUCAGUGUUUGUCUCACUACUUCCUUUCCUCUAAUCUCUCAUUCUUUCUGGUGCACUAGGGUGAGAUACACAGAGACAGAAACAGCUGCCACAGAGCUUAAGGGAGGAAUGGCUGAGGUUUGCAUGGCUUCUACUUACUACAGAUGCGUACAUACCUUGUGCAUCUAGUCUAGUCUCCACCUCUUCAGGAAAUAGGCAAGAGACACAGAAUGUAUGUAAGCCAUUAUGGUCCUCUGUGAGGAAACUGAGGAAGGAUCUACAUGCACUGCUAUCACACAUGCACACAUGCUUGUACAUACCGCGCGAUUUGUAGAAAAGACUUCCGUUUCUAAAUUAUAUUUUUAUGUGUCUGGGUGCCACAUGCACUCCUAGUGCCCACAGAGGCCAGAAGAGGGUGUUGGAUCAUCUGGCACUAGAAUUACAGAUGAUUGGGAACUGCCAUGUGAGUGCUGAGAAUUGAACCUGGGUCCCCUGGAAGAGCAACCAGUGCUUUUUAACUGCAGAGCCAUUUCUUCAGUCCCAACUAAGAAAGGGCCAUUAAGCUGGUUUAAGCUGAUCUUUAGGAGAAUGAAUGGGAGGUAGCCAAUCAUGGAGGACAGAGGACAAAGAAAGACCACAUGGAAAAAGUGCCUGUUUUUAUCCAGUUAGACUUGUCUAGGGAUUGGGAGAAGAGGGGCCACCAGGAGAAAAUAAGUUGGAGACGUGGCCUGUAACCAAGCUAGAAAGCUAUGCCAAGCCCAGACUCAAUCCCUGAGGCAAUGGGAUGGAAGCAGGGAGAUGUCAUGACAUAAUAAUCCAAGGAGUCAUAUAUUCAGGUGAGCAUCUUAUGAAGUCACUGCCAGCCUAAACAAGAUUCAUUAAAGAAGGGGACAGGACUGAGACCUGGAGACUAGACGUGGAUAUUUGUCAUAGUGUAGAUAGAGAAUGAUCUAGAAGUGGGAGAGGGUUUAGAGGGAGAAGCAACAAGACCUGUGACUGACUUGGUUUUGGAGAAGAAGAGCAAAGCUAAGUUGGGAGGAGAUUAAUUUCAUUCAUCAAAAGCCCCGGUCUAUCUGUGUGCUGCUCUGUGAUGACUUUUUUUAAGUAAACUCUUCAUUUCAUAGCCAGUUUUCCUCACUGGGAGAGACACAGGCUUACAUUCUGCUGAGUACUAUUAGAAAUUCAAGAAUUAACCUGUUUAUUCCUUUCCUUCUCCAGCUACUUCUACUGUUUUCAUUGUUAAGUUUUUAAAACAUUUAUUUGUGUGUGUGUGUG
rnacentral:lncRNA from 1 species